AUUGGUUGAAAAUCACCCCCCGGCUUUAGCCAUAGCCAGGGGUGAGAUGCGGUGCCCAGAGCCAACAGGGGCCUCAGCUCAGCGCCCACUGCCUCGUGUGCGGCGGUGAAACCCAGGUCCCGACAGGC